rnacentral:lncRNA from 1 species
CGAGCCCCUCCCACGCUGCGCGCGCGCCUCUCCCCCGACCGCUGCGUUUUUACCCGACCGAGCCACCCUGCGCGCACUGGCGACCUGGGUUCGAUCCUCGGCAACGGCAUUUUUACACCUUUUGUUUUGCGAGUUCCGACUCGGACACAGGACACCCACCUGCGAAGCUCCGUCGAUCAUCGUUGCCCUUCUGCCGCCCGUCCGCUUGAUUGCGCGAGCUCAACCGGCGGAUCCAGCGCCGGCUCUGCAUCUUGCAUCGGAGGAGCACCGUCAUGCGCGGGCUAUUGGCUUCGGUGCCGACCUCGCAUUCGCCGCCUGCUCCAUCGACGAGCUAUGCUGCCCCGACUUCUGCUCGUGUAGAGCAGGCCUGUCCCCCGGCCGAUUCGCAGCGUGGUUGGAGAAGAGAGCUCGAGGCCUCGAGCGCUGCCGCCCAUCCAUCUCCCGAGCCCAAGUGCCGCCGGCCGAUUUGAGCCAGUCCGCGCCGACAGCUCCGGCAGCUCCCUGCUAGGACGUUCUUAUCGGUGGCUUUUCAUUGGAGGCAGUGGUGAGGUCGUUGAACUCCUCAGUCCCCUUCCCCUUUCCUCGAUGUCACAGCUCGAUCUUUCAUUGUUCUGCAUACACGUGUGUGGUUCAGUGGACAAUUCGAUUCGUCAGAAAGUCAGAACCAUAUCUACAUAGUCGAUUUGAGUUGCUCCUUGAGAUUCUGCAUCAUGGGUCGGUGCCGGAGCUUGUAUUGUGAAUUUGUGAUCCAGAUUAUUGGAUUCUUGUUUCUGUAACCUGUAACCUGAGGGCUGGUCCGGCAGCUCCUUGUGAAUUUGUGAUCCAGAUUAUUGGAUUCUUGUUUCUGUAACCUGUAACCUGAGGGCUGGUCCGGCAGCUCCUUGCUACGGCCCGUGUGUUAAGACAAAACACUUGAAAUCUACAUUUUAGCAUAAGUUAAUUUUCUAGCGCCAUAAAAAUAGAUUAUGGGAUCUGGUAUCGUGGUUUUUUUUUCCGGUGGCAAGUAAUGACAUGUAGAUGCAAAUUAUUUGCAUCAAUCUAGUGUGAAAGUAGUAUUUUUUUUAUCCUGAAGGAAUAA